rnacentral:rRNA from 1 species
CAGGGAUUGCCUUAGUAACGGCGAGUGAAGCGGCAACAGCUCAAAUUUGAAAGCUGGCUCCUUUGGAGUCCGCGUUGUAAUUUGUAGAGGAUGAUUCGGCAAGGGCUCCCGCCUAAGUCUCCUGGAACGGAGCGUCAUAGAGGGUGAGAAUCCCGUAUGCGGUGGGCUGCCUAAGCCAUGUGAAUCUCCUUCGACGAGUCGAGUUGUUUGGGAAUGCAGCUCUAAAUGGGAGGUAAAUUUCUUCUAAAGCUAAAUACCGGCCAGAGACCGAUAGCGCACAAGUAGAGUGAUCGAAAGAUGAAAAGCACUUUGGAAAGAGAGUUAAAAAGUACGUGAAAUUGUUGAAAGGGAAGCGCUUGCAGCCAGACUUGUCCGCAGUUGCUCAGCCGGUCUCCUGACCGGUGUACUCUUCUGCGGCCAGGCCAGCAUCAGUUCGGGCGGUCGGAUAAAGACCUCGGGAAUGUAGCUCCUCUCGGGGAGUGUUAUAGCCCGGGGUGGAAUGCGGCCAGCCUGGACUGAGGAUCUCGCUUCGGCUAGGAUGCUGGCGUAAUGGCUGUAAGCGGCCCGUCUUGAAACACGGACCAAGGAGUCUAACAUCUAUGCGAGUGUUUGGGUGUCAAACCCAUGCGCGUAAUGAAAGUGAACGGAGGUGGGAACCCUCACGGGUGCACCAUCGACCGAUCCUGAUGUCUUCGGAUGGAUUUGAGUAAGAGCAUAGCUGUUGGGACCCGAAAGAUGGUGAACUAUGCCUGAAUAGGGUGAAGCCAGAGGAAACUCUGGUGGAGGCUCGCAGCGGUUCUGACGUGCAAAUCGAUCGUCAAAUUUGGGUAUAGGGGCGAAAGACUAA